GAUGAACGCUAGCGGCAGGCCUAACACAUGCAAGUCGAGGGAGAAGCCCUUUCGGGGGCAGAAACCGGCGCACGGGUGCGUAACGCGUAUGCAACCUACCUUUCACAGGGGGAUAGCCCGAAGAAAUUUGGAUUAAUACCCCAUAAUAUUAUUGGAUGGCAUCAUUUGAUAAUUAAAACUGCGGUGGUGAAAGAUGGGCAUGCGUCCUAUUAGCUAGUUGGAGUGGUAACGGCACCCCAAGGCUACGAUAGGUAGGGGUCCUGAGAGGGAGAUCCCCCACACUGGUACUGAGACAGGGACCAGACUCCUACGGGAGGCAGCAGUGAGGAAUAUUGGUCAAUGGUCGGAAGACUGAACCAGCCAUGCCGCGUGCAGGAAGAAUGCCUUAUGGGUUGUAAACUGCUUUUAGAUGGGAAGAAUAAGGCGUACGUGUACGUUGAUGACGGCACCAUAUGAAUAAGCAUCGGCUAACUCCGUG
rnacentral:rRNA from 1 species